rnacentral:rRNA from 1 species
UACGAAGGGGGCUAGCGUUGCUCGGAAUCACUGGGCGUAAAGGGUGCGUAGGCGGGUCUUUAAGUCAGGGGUGAAAUCCUGGAGCUCAACUCCAGAACUGCCUUUGAUACUGAAGAUCUUGAGUUCGGGAGAGGUGAGUGGAACUGCGAGUGUAGAGGUGAAAUUCGUAGAUAUUAGCUAGAACACCAGUGGCGAAGGCGGCCAACUGGUCCGGUACUGACGCUGAGGUGCGAAAGCGUGGGGAGCAAACAGG